rnacentral:rRNA from 1 species
GAUGAACGCUGGCGGCGUGCCUAAUACAUGCCAGUCGAGCGAACGGACGAGAAGCUUGCUUCUCUGAUGUUAGCGGCGGACGGGUGAGUAACACGUGGAUAACCUACCUAUAAGACUGGGAUAACUUCGGGAAACCGGAGCUAAUACCGGAUGAUAUUUUGAACCGCAUGGUUCAAAAGUGAAAGACGGUCUUGCUGUCACUUAUAGAUGGAUCCGCGCUGCAUUAGCUAGUUGGUAAGGUAACGGCUUACCAAGGCAACGAUGCAUAGCCGACCUGAGAGGGUGAUCGGCCACACUGGAACUGAGACACGGUCCAGACUCCUACGGGAGGCAGCAGUAGGGAAUCUUCCGCAAUGGGCGAAGGCCUGACGGAGCAACGCCGCGUGAGUGAUGAAGGUCUUCGGAUCGUAAAACUCUGUUAUUAGGGAAGAACAUAUGUGUAAGUAACUGUGCACAUCUUGACGGUACCUAAUCAGAAAGCCACGGCUAGCUACGUG